CUUUUCUAUUUUUAUAUAUUUAAAAAUAUAAAUUAUUCCUGUUAAAAUCAUUUGAAUAUGCUGAUUUGGAGCUCAGGACACACUUGGACACACCAAUUUAUACUUCUGCGUCCGGUGCACAUUGACGUGUACCAUACGUCGUACCCUUCGCCGUACCCUGACGCGCACCUCCUCAAAAAUGUAACUACGCGUCGCAACGACUGCAAGAUCUGUGAUUGGUCGGCUUGGUAGUAUCACGUUUCCUCCUACGCAUUUCCGGAAUGAUCUUCUGCACUCUGGACUGCCCGCCAUUUUUAAAUUCCGAAAUUCAGUGAAGAGCCAACAUGGAAAUGGACCAAGUGACCGAGCGAUUAAUUAAAGAAGUGAGGAAAUACAGCCAGCAUGAUCCGCUCUCUUUCAGUCGCCAUUGUUCGUAGAAGCCCGCGAGGAUCGAGGAAUGUAAACACAGUGGAACCCGCUCGCGUCAACUAGCGUUUCGGCGGUGAAACUGCAGAGCAAAACAGACAUACGCAGAAGUAUAAAUGCUUACGACGGCGUCGCCUACGUGCGUAGCCUACGACGUACACUACGCCGUACACUCGACGCAGAAGUAUAAAUUGGCCUUAUUAUCAGUGUUAAAAACAGUUACAGGUCAGCUGAAUUCAUAUGCAACUCAUGAAGUCAACCAGCGCCAAUUCUUCAAUUCAGAAUUUGGAACAACCCUGGUAAGAAGCAUAAGGGGAAAAAAAAAAACACUGGACUCGAAAGGGCAGAGUCCAUUUUCAAGAUUUCCUCCAAGGAUGCAGUGAAAGUGUGCGGGGGGUUGUGUAUCUGUGCUACAGUGCGGCGGUGUGUGCUUGCUGAGAAUUGAGUGUGAUUGCACCAUCCCUCGUGUAAACAACCAACUCUGAAAGCCCUUCCUGUGAUUGACACCACUGGAAAUGCCAAGCAGAGGUGUCUUUUGUCUGCCUUCCCUUGCUUUCAGCAAACACCAGCACUCCGGGCUGGAAAUGAUCUCCACACAUAAGGAUAACAGCAGCUGUCUCUGACAGGCAAGUAUUUCUUGCUACUCGAACCAGCCAUUUGAUAGCAGGUUGUAGAUUAUUUCGAAAACAUGUUGAUGGUAUUCUGUUCUCGUUUCUUUUUUGGUGGUUGAUUCCUGGUUUUAUAGGAAUAGUCCACCCCUUUACUUGGCAUAUCAACUUUUGUCGAUUCAAACCCAAAUCACUUAUACUUUCUUCUGUAGAAUUCAGCUGGAGGAGCUUUGAUGAAUGUUUCAGCUGUUCUCUUACAAACAAAGAAAGUGAAAGAGGGGUUGUCAAGUUCCAAAAGAAAUCAUAAAAGCUGUUUAUACAGCAUAUGACAUUUAUUAUUGAAUAUUUAUUUAUUUAUAAUAAUAAUAAUAAGAAGAAGAAAAAAGUCCCCAUUCACAGUCAUUGUAUGAAAAAAAUAGCAUUAAUAGAAAGAAAGCCAACCAGUUUGGAAUGACAUGAUAGUAAAUAAUAAAUUUUAUUUACAAUGGUUUUGGCCA
ensembl:lncRNA